UCUACGGGAGGCUGCAGUGAGGAAUAUUGGUCAAUGGACGAGAGUCUGAACCAGCCAAGUAGCGUGAAGGAUGACUGCCCUAUGGGUUGUAAACUUCUUUUAUAUGGGAAUAAAAUGUUCCACGUGUUGGAUUUUGUAUGUACCAUAUGAAUAAGGAUCGGCUAACUCCGGUCCAGCAGCCGCGGUAAUACGGAGGAUUCGAGCGUUAUCCGGAUUGAUUGGGUUUAAAGGGUGCGUAGGCGGAAUGCCAAGUCAGCGUUAAAAUCGCGGGGCUCAACCUCGCUCUGCCUUUGAGACUGGCGUUCUUGAGUGGGCGAGAGGUAUGCGGAAUGCGUGGUGUAGCGGUGAAAUGCAUAGAUAUCACGCAGAACUCCGAUUGCGAAGGCAGCAUACCGGAGCCCAACUGACGCUGAGGCACGAAAGCGUGGGUAUCGAACAGGAUUAGAUACCCCUGUAGUC
rnacentral:rRNA from 1 species